UGGGGAAUAUUGCGCAAUGGGGGAAACCCUGACGCAGCGACGCCGCGUGCGGGAUGAAGGCCUUCGGGUUGUAAACCGCUUUUGAUUGGGAGCAAGCUUUCGGGUGAGUGUACCUUUCGAAUAAGCGCCGGCUAACUACGUGCCAGCAGCCGCGGUAAUACGUAGGGCGCAAGCGUUAUCCGGAAUUAUUGGGCGUAAAGCGCGCGUAGGCGGUUUUUUAAGUCUGAUGUGAAAGCCCCCGGCUCAACCGGGGAGGGUCAUUGGAAACUGGUUGACUUGAGUGCAGAAGAGGAGAGUGGAAUUCCAUGUGUAGCGGUGAAAUGCGUAGAUAUAUGGAGGAACACCAGUGGCGAAGGCGACUCUCUGGUCUGUAACUGACGCUGAGGCUCGAAAGCGUGGGGAGCGAACAGG
rnacentral:rRNA from 1 species